CGUUGCACCGCGUCACUCCAAGCCGGAGCCUGGCACAGCCAAGCGCUCCAGCCCGGCGCUGCCGCCUCAGGAGGGGCGCCGCGUAAAAGAGCUUCUUGGCUCAGGGCCGCCGAGAAGAUGGAGCAGUUUCAGUUCGCUCUGCCGCGCGGGCGAGGGCGGGGAAGCUGUUGGUUAAGUCCGGAUCUUCAGGGCCUUCGCGCCGGCUCUGGCCGCCAGCCCCACCGCGCAGUUCCCCAUCCCACGCGCUGGAGUCUCGUUCCUCCGGGAGGCGGGAAAAAUCACUCGCGGGAGUGACCUUGAGACGUGCUAGCGCGCGGGCGAAGCAGAGCCGGCUCGGCGGGUUUGCGGGCAGCGUCGUGAUGCGGUGGCGGGUUUUGCGCUUCGGGUUGGGACGUGACGGGAAGCGCGGGAGCUCUAGGGAUUAUCAGAGUGCCGGAGGCUUCCCAGGGAGCAGGGAGGACCAGUCGUGGUCCAGAACUGGCGCCCUGGAGUUGCCUGGAAGGUCGCAAUGAGAGAACAGAGGAAUGAAUCCCAGUUCCUGAGGAACGCUGCAAGAGGAUUUUAUUAUGCUCAUGUCCCCCCCUUAGGCAAGUUAUAUAUUACAAACAUUUGACUGGGAAACCAAAUGCCUUACUUAGUGUGGACUUUGAACUUGUACAGAAUUCUAACCUACAGUGUGGAAACAAACAAAAAAAUCGGUGCCCCAUCCCCAUAAUAUAAAGUGUCCUGGAGAUACUUUGGACUGCUUGAGGAAAUAACUCAGGCAGGUAACACCUAAUGUGUGUGUAUGGUUGAGCCAUUAAUAAAAAUGGAAAGAUAAGCCAGACUUGUUUGUUGAGAUAUUGGAUGGCUGCCAGUAUUUGCAAAGUAGUUUAGGAACUGUUUCAGGUAAGUAUUAGUAAUACAAACUCCCAGCAUUAUUUCCUGUUCUACUUUUUCACUCCAGCUUAUUAAAAACCAUGUUUGACACUAGUCCAUGUGACUCAUCAAAACUGUAUGACAGGAGAAAAUGGCUUAAUAAAGUUUCUACCAAGAGCCAUAUGGAAGGGGUAAGACAGGAUGUGAAUAGGGUUUUUUUUGGUUCAUUUCUAUACUUGAGAUGUUCUUCUUGGACCUAACAUUAAAGUAUUAACAUUUUGCAUAUAUACACGCACACUUACACACACACACACACACACACACACACACACAUUCUUGAUAGAAGCGAGAUAUUUUUAUUAGUAGCUCAGGAGUAUUACCUAGUUUAACCCUGUAUAAUACUGUACUUGUAGAUUCUUAAUUUCAGUUAUUUUGUUUCUAAUAACAAAUUAUAUCUUAUAUGCAAAACAGAUAAAAGAAUUGCCUUUAACUUAAGAGCAAACUAAACAGAGACAUGAAUAAGGAAGAUAACCAACAUUCAAUAUUUUUAACUGCAAGGCAGUAUUAACACAAUACUGUGAGAAGCACAUGCACACACAUGCACCUUUUGACACUCACUCUACAUUUUUCUGAAGCAUGUUCAGGCUGCCAAGACAUCUUAAAUGUUCUUCUAAAAUUUUGUCUUAGCUGAAAUUGGUAAACUUUUUAUCUUUAAAAAAAUGGAAUGACAAAUUAAAAGAGAAAUCACUAGAACAAAAGAGCAUAGAGCUAUGAGCCACUUCCAGCCUUUACCUUUGUGCCUUAAUGCACAAGGUAUCUUUACCUUUGUGCCUUAAUGCAGCAGAUAAAAAAGAUAAACAACUCUUAGGUUCUGCAAAUACUGAAGGAAAUAUAUUCCUGUUGAUGAAUCUACUACAAAUUGAAACCAACUGAAUGUUUACUUGAUCAAAUUAAAUCAUUUCAUCUGUAUUUACAGAUUUAAUAAUGUCAGCAGUUUAAAUAACUGUACUUCACAACAACUUUUCAAAAAACAAAUAUCUACCAAAAGUAAGAUUAUAUCAUUUGUUUAUUAAUCCUAAUAGCAAAAAAAAAAAAAUGCAAAUGAAUUCACUGAAAACUCCUGAGAAAAAAGGAAAAAGAAAAAGAAGUUCCUUGAGGAUUUCCAGAAAAUGCUUCAAAUGUUACUGAUUAACCUAGUUAGCUGAGUUCUUUCACAAUUCAGUUAUGCUAUUCGGAAAUGUAAUAAUGACCUUAAUGCACAGUUGGAAAGUUGACACAGAAGGCAAUGAAUGUAAGAGUUGACUAACAUAUGAUUAACUUUAAUCUACCUGUGCAAGCCUUCCAUAUAUUCAAAUAAUGAAAGCUCCAGAUGUCUUAUCAUUGGGUUAUCUGGGACAAAUGGUUAUUAGAAUCAGGAACUUUCCUCUAAUGUGCUACAUGCAUGUCCACUCAACACCUUCCUCAAUAUCCUUAUUCUUUAAAGAAGCUUUCUUCAGUGUGACAGAUCUGGAAGAAGUUUAGACUACAGUUGACAUGAAGGCUUCAUCAAGUUCUUUGUAGAUCACUUUGGGAACAUAGACUAAAUUGGAAGCUAAAUUUCUGGAUUGUCUUUGCAUGAUGAUUUUCAUUAAAUAUCCUUGCAUUGGCUGUUGAAAUGAGUGAGCACUGAUGUCAGUGUAGCGGAUGAUCCUCAUAAGCAAACCAAUGUUGCAUUAUUCAGUAAAUUCCAGAAUGAUGCAUUAGAUCUUUCAGAGGAAAAGUGAUGAAAUAGUUUUGCUAGCAAAAGCAGCUGAUAGAGUACAAUCUACAAAACAAUUAAAAUCCAAGUCUAAGUAUCAGUUCUUUCAAUGAAAUUUAUGUUCAGAAGAUGUAUUUAGAAUGCUACUGUAUUAUGUGCAUAUUAUGAGCAUAUUAUGUGACAUACAGUAUUUGUAUAAUAAAGUUGCAUAUUAAAUAAAUUUCUUUUUGUGGUC